GACGAACGCUGGCGGCGUGCCUAAUACAUGCAAGUAGAACGCACAGUUUAUACCGUAGCUUGCUACACCAUAGACUGUGAGUUGCGAACGGGUGAGUAACGCGUAGGUAACCUGCCUGGUAGCGGGGGAUAACUAUUGGAAACGAUAGCUAAUACCGCAUAAUAUUAAUUAUUGCAUGAUAAUUAAUUGAAAGGUGCAAUUGCACCACUACCAGAUGGACCUGCGUUGUAUUAGCUAGUAGGUGAGGUAACGGCUCACCUAGGCGACGAUACAUAGCCGACCUGAGAUGGUGAUCGGCCACACUGGGACUGAGACACGGCCCAGACUCCUACGGGAGGCAGCAGUAGGGAAUCUUCGGCAAUGGACGAAAGUCUGACCGAGCAACGCCGCGUGAGUGAAGAAGGUUUUCGGAUCGUAAAGCUCUGUUGUAAGAGAAGAACGGGUGUGAGAGUGGAAAGUUCACACUGUGACGGUAUCUUACCAGAAAGGGACGGCUAACUACGUG
rnacentral:rRNA from 1 species